GCUCUUAUCUUAGGGAAGAGGAAGAGAAAAAAGGAACUAUCUUUGACUUUAUCCAAUAAGAACUUGUGAAAGUUGUCAGAGUCAAAAUGGAGCCACUUGUGUUAAAGACUGUGCCAAGUGGCAUCGAGGAUGGCCGUGAACGGAGGGUUCUUAUGCACAAAUGCCUGACGGCAACGACUAUCACAAAAGACUCCGCAAAAACCACAACCUUGUGAAAGAAAGGCCCACCACAACCUUACUACACACAAAAAAACUUCUGCAAGGACAUCUGCACAGCAACUUCCUGUCUAACCUUGGACCGGCACCACCCUUGUUAUGGAUCCUUAUAGCUAACAAUAAUUAUCACAAAACAAUUUUAUAAUCUUCUUCAUUUUUCCUUUAAAAAUAUUUGUCUUCCUUUACCUACCUGAGCUGAGCAUGCAUGUAGUUUGCUAUGGUAUGUAUAUUGCUGUUACAAUGCCCAUUUUUGAAUAAAUAUCCUUUUCUUUCA
rnacentral:lncRNA from 1 species